rnacentral:rRNA from 1 species
UGGGGAAUCUUCCGCAAUGGACGAAAGUCUGACGGAGCAACGCCGCGUGAGUGAAGACGGCCUUCGGGUUGUAAAGCUCUGUGAUCCGGGACGAAAGAGCCUGAGGUGAAUAGCCUAAGGAAGUGACGGUACCGGAAAAGCAAGCCACGGCUAACUACGUGCCAGCAGCCGCGGUAAUACGUAGGUGGCAAGCGUUGUCCGGAAUUAUUGGGCGUAAAGCGCGCGCAGGCGGCUUCCUAAGUCCAUCUUAAAAGUGCGGGGAUUAACCCCGUGAUGGGAUGGAAACUGGGAAGCUGGAGUAUCGGAGAGGAAAGUGGAAUUCCUAGUGUAGCGGUGAAAUGCGUAGAGAUUAGGAAGAAAACCGGUGGCGAAGGCGACGUUCUGGACGAAAUCUGACGCUGAGGCGCGAAAGCGUGGGGAGCAAACAGG